rnacentral:rRNA from 1 species
AGAGUUUGAUCCUGGCUCAGGAUGAACGCUAGCGGCAGGCCUAACACAUGCAAGUCGAGGGGCAGCGGGUAAGUAGCUUGCUACUUAUGCCGGCGACCGGCGGACGGGUGCGUAACGCGUAUGUAACCUACCUUUGACAGGGGGAUAACAUCGAGAAAUUGGUACUAAUACCCCAUAACAUCACCGGAGGCAUCUUCGGUGGUUGAAAACUCAGGUGGUCAGAGAUGGACAUGCGUUGUAUUAGCUAGUUGGUGAGGUAACGGCUCACCAAGGCGACGAUACAUAGGGGGACUGAGAGGUCAACCCCCCACAUUGGUACUGAGACACGGACCAAACUCCUACGGGAGGCAGCAGUGAGGAAUAUUGGUCAAUGGUCGGGAGACUGAACCAGCCAAGCCGCGUGAGGGAGGAAGGUACAGAGUAUCGUAAACCUCUUUUGUCAGGGAACAAAGGCGGGGACGUGUCCCCGGAUGAGUGUACCUGAAGAAAAAGCAUCGGCUAACUCCGUGCCAGCAGCCGCGGUAAUACGGAGGAUGCGAGCGUUAUCCGGAUUUAUUGGGUUUAAAGGGUGCGCAGGCGGUCUGUUAAGUCAGCGGUCAAAGCCCGGGGCUCAACCCCGGCCCGCCGUUGAAACUGGCAGUCUCGAGUUGGAGAGAAGUAUGCGGAAUGCGCGGUGUAGCGGUGAAAUGCAUAGAUAUCGCGCAGAACUCCGAUUGCGAAGGCAGCAUGCCGGCUCCACACUGACGCUGAGGCACGAAAGCGUGGGUAUCGAACAGGAUUAGAUACCCUGGUAGUCCACGCAGUAAACGAUGAAUGCUGGCUGUCCGGGGGGAUUGACCCCUGGGUGGCGAAGCGAAAGCGAUAAGCAUUCCACCUGGGGAGUACGCCGGCAACGGUGAAACUCAAAGGAAUUGACGGGGGCCCGCACAAGCGGAGGAACAUGUGGUUUAAUUCGAUGAUACGCGAGGAACCUUACCCGGGCUCAAACGGGGAGUGACUCAGGCAGAGACGCCUGUUUCCCACGGGACACUCCCCGAGGUGCUGCAUGGUUGUCGUCAGCUCGUGCCGUGAGGUGUCGGCUUAAGUGCCAUAACGAGCGCAACCCCCACCGGCAGUUGCUAACCGACGCAAGUCGGAGGACUCUGCCGGGACUGCCGGCGCAAGCUGCGAGGAAGGCGGGGAUGACGUCAAAUCAGCACGGCCCUUACGUCCGGGGCAACACACGUGUUACAAUGGCAGGUACAGCGGGAAGCCACCCGGCGACGGGGCGCGGAACCUGAAAACCUGUCUCAGUUCGGAUCGGAGUCUGCAACCCGACUCCGUGAAGCUGGAUUCGCUAGUAAUCGCGCAUCAGCCAUGGCGCGGUGAAUACGUUCCCGGGCCUUGCACACACCGCCCGUCA